rnacentral:rRNA from 1 species
AGUGAACGCUGGCGGUAGGCCUAACACAUGCAAGUCGAACAGCAGCACAGUAAGAGCUUGCUCUUACGGGUGGCGAGUGGCGGACGGGUGAGGAAUACAUCGGAAUCUACUUUUUCGUGGGGGAUAACGUAGGGAAACUUACGCUAAUACCGCAUACGACCUACGGGUGAAAGCAGGGGUUCUUCGGACCUUGCGCGAUUGAAUGAGCCGAUUUCGGAUUAGCUAGUUGGCGGGGUAAAGGCCCACCAAGGCGACGAUCCGUAGCUGGUCUGAGAGGAUGAUCAGCCACACUGGAACUGAGACACGGUCCAGACUCCUACGGGAGGCAGCAGUGGGGAAUAUUGGACAAUGGGCGCAAGCAUGAUCCAGCCAUACCGCGUGGGUGAAGAAGGCCUUCGGGUUGUAAAGACCUUUUGUUGGGAAAGAAAAGCAGCAGGUUAAUACCCCGCUGUUCUGACGGUACCCAAAGAAUAAGCACCGGCUAACUUCGUG